AGUGAACGCUGGCGGUAUGCCUAACACAUGCAAGUCGAACGGCAGCACAGUAAGAGCUUGCUCUUACGUGUGUCGAGUGGCGGACGGGUGAGGAAUACACCGGAAUCUACUUUUUCGUGGGUGAUAACGUAGGGAAACUUACUCUAAUACCGCAUACGACCUACUGGUGAAAGCAGGGGAUCUUCGGACCUUGCGCUAGUGAAUGAGCCGAUGUCGGAUUAGCUAGUUGGCGGGGUAAAGGCCCACCAAGGCGACGAUCCGUAGCUGGUCUGAGAGGAUGAUCAGCCAGACUGGAACUGAGACACGGUACAGACUCCUACGGGAGGACGCAGUGGGGAAUAUUGGACAAUGGGCGAAAGCCUGAUCCAGCCAUACCGCGUGGGUGAAGAAGGCCUUCGGGUUGUAAAGCCAUUUUGUUGGGAAAGAAAAGCAGCAGGUUAAUACCCCGCUGUUAUGACGGUACCCAAAGAAUAAGCACCGGCUAACUUCGUG
rnacentral:rRNA from 1 species